AGAAUCAACGCUGGCGGCGUGCCUCAGACAUGCAAGUCGAACGAUUAAACUUUCCUUCGGGAAAGAUAUAAAGUGGCGCACGGGUGAGUAACACGUAAGUAAUCUACCUCGGGGUGGGGAAUAACGUUCGGAAACGAACGCUAAUACCGCAUAAUGCAGCGGCUUCUUAUGAAGACAGUUGUUAAAGCAUUUAUGUGCCUGGAGAGGAGCUUGCGGCAGAUUAGCUAGUUGGUAAGGUAAUGGCUUACCAAGGCGACGAUCUGUAGCCGACCUGAGAGGGUGGUCGGUCACACUGACACUGAAUAACGGGUCAGACUCCUACGGGAGGCAGCAGUCGGGAAUUUUGGGCAAUGGGCGAAAGCCUGACCCAGCAACGCCGCGUGAAGGAUGAAGUAUCUCGGUAUGUAAACUUCGUAAAAAUGGGAAGAAUAAAUGACGGUACCAUUUGUAAGGUCCGGCUAACUACGUGCCAGCAGCCGC
rnacentral:rRNA from 1 species